CCAUCCAUGUAGCUGGUGAAUCAGUUUUCCCUUCCUGGAGUUCUUUCUUUUUUUUUUUUUUUUUUUUUUUUUUUCAGAGCUGGGGACCGAACCCAGGGCCUUGCGCUUCCUAGGCAAGCGCUCUACCACUGAGCUAAAUCCCCAACCCACCUGGAGUUCUUUCUUACCCCCGCUCUAAGUCCCAUGCACAAGCCAGAAACCAGGGAUCCUCCCUGGACUUGUGUCUUCCUCUGGAACCCACCCCAUAGUCAUCCCUGCUCCCCGCCUGUGUUUCCAGCACUUGUAAAUGUUUCCCAUCCAGACUGCUGUUCAUCACCUCUUGGUUCCUUGCAUCACCGUUGGCUCUCGCACUUUAGGCUUGGUGCUUCUCAACCUUCCUAAGGCUGUGACUCUUAUAGACAGUUCCUCAGGCUCGCCAACCAUGAAAUAAUUUCCGUUGCUACUUCACAACUGUUAAUUUUGUUAGUUGUGAAUCAUAAUGUAAAUAUCUGAUAUGCAACCCUUGUAAUGGGGUUGAUUUGACUCCCGAAGCUCUGCUCUACAGCAGGAAUCCAUUAACAAUGCAGACAUUUCGCCCCUGUUCAGAGGAAAGACUUGGCCCUUCUCCAUAGCGUGCUCCCUCCUUCUACACACACACACCUCUGUUUGCCAGGUCUCCCCACACUUCCCACUGCCUGCUGCUGCUGCUCUAACACCUCAGCUGACUGCCUCUCCCACAGGCAGAUUCCACACCUUUGUUCCAGUGGCUCUUUCCCCCUUGAGACUUGUAGCCUCCCUUCCUGGCUUUACCCUUACAUCUGAGCCUUCCCUGGUUCUCACAGGGGAUUAUGUAUCUGCUGCAUACUUUGUAACUUCCAGGUCACUAACCAUUCUCUAUUAAACUCAUCAAUAUUAAGUUUGUCUGUAUUUCUUACUGAUAGGGACCACGUGUGAUUUCGGUGUACACUGACAGACCUAACACAGUUCCUGAAACAAGGAGAAAUUUCCCCACAUAUGAGGUAACCUGGGCGUGCCCAUCAGUGGCUGAAAAAGUACAAUUGAACGAACCCACUUUCUCUUCCAGGCGGCAGGUUCCUCUGUUUCUCUCCCCAAGCCAGCAAUGCACACUAUUUACACCGGGCUCUCCCUGCCCAGAACAAAUGGCCAGCUAAGAUAAAUCUUUGUCAGUGCUGGGGAAGGUCCAGUCUCCGUUGCUAAAUUGACAACCUCCUCACUUUCUGCUGAGUAGCUGGGAUCCUUAGGUAAACAUCAGCUGACUGGGUUGCCUAAAGAGGGGAGUCCACAGGCUAUGGAGGUACCAGAAUUCGUUUUACCCUUUAUCAGGUCUCACUGUGUAUCUCUGGCUGGCCUGAAAUUCACUAUGUUCUGGAAUUCACUAGAGUACCAAGGUAGCCUCGAACUCAGAUCUGCCUUCUGAGCACUGAGAAAAAGGUGUGUGUCACCACACCCUGCCAUGUAUGUAUGUAUGUAUGUAUGUAUGUAUGUAUGUAUGUAUGUACAAAUAUACAUGUAUUGGUUUAUUUAGAGACAGGGCCUUGUGUAGAUCAGGCUGGUCUCAAACUCACUAUGUUGGCAAGGGUAACUGAAUUUCUCACCCUCCUGCCUCUAUUUCCCAAGUGUUGGGAUUAUAGCCAUGUAACUCACCCCAAUUUUAUUAUUGGACUUUUAAAAAAGUGUGUGAUGUGUGUGGUGUGUGUGUGUGUGUGGUGUGUGAUGUGUGUGUGGUGUGUGUGUGGUGUGGUGUGUGUGUGUAUGGUGUGUGUGUGUAUGUGUGUGUGCAUGUGUGUGUGGUGUAGUGUGUAUGUGUGUGUGGUGUGUGUGUGGUGUGUGUGUGAAGUGUGUGUGUGUGUGUGUAGUGUGUGGUGUGUGUGUGUAUGUGGUGUGUGUGUGUGGUGUGUAUGUGUGUGUGGUGUGUAUGUGUGUGUGGUGUGUAUGUGUGUGUGGUGUGUGUGUGUGUAUGUGUGUGUGUGGUGUGUGUGUGGUGUGUGUGUGUAUGUGUGUGUGUGGUGUGUGUGUGUGUGUAUGUGUGUGUGUGUGUGUUAAAGGACAGUUUGUGGGAGUCAGGUCUCUCCUUCCACCAUGUGGGAUCUAGGAUCAAGUUAUGAGAGCCAUCUUGCUGGCCACAUUAUGUGACUUCUUAAUAUAGACAGUCUGGUGGCUGUGAAGUCGCAGCUCACUAGGGUUUUCCUUUGACAGCUAUCAGUGUUUGCCAUCUUCUCUCACGCAUUGUUCACUGUCUGUCUCAUUUGGGGAAAUGUCCAUUGCCAUCCUUUAUCCAUUUUUAAAUUGGGUUAUUAGCAUUUUAACUCAUUGAGAUGUGUGUUUUAGAAUCAUCUUUAUUACUUUAAAUUAUGUGUCUCUGCAUUUGAGUUCAGGUGCACUACAGAGCUGGGGUUACAGGCAGUUGUGAGCUGCUUGAUCUGGAUGCUGGGAAUUGAGCUCAAGUCCUUCGGAGGAGCAGUGCAUGCUGUUAAGUACCGAGCUUUCCUCCAGCCUCUGUGUAUUCUUUAUACACUCUCAAUUCUAGGCCUUCAUAAGACCCAUGGUUUACAGGUAUUUUCUCCUUUUCUGUGGGUUUUAUUUUCAGUUUCUUGGCUGUCCUUUGAAGCACAAAAGUUUGAAUUUUUGAAAACAUACAAUUUUUUAUUUUAUUUCUCUACUUGUGCUUUAAUAUCCGAAAAGCAUUACUUGAUCUCAAAUUGCAAAGACUUCCUCCUAUGCUUUCUUCUAAGAGUUUUAUCACUGUUUAGGACAAUGAUCUGAAUAAUUUUUUAAGAUAGGCUAUGUAGUCCUGAUUGACCUGAAACACAGAGAUCUGCCUGCCUCUCUGCCUCCUCAGUGCUGUGUUUAAACAUGUGCACAACUGUACCUGUCCUGAGUGAAUUUUUGUAUACACAUAAGGUAGGGGCCGUAUCAUUGUUUUGGAUAUAAUGCCAGUUAUCCUGGGUCAUUAGCUGAGAAGAGAUACCACAGACUUGCCUUGAGACCCUUGUUAACAGUAACUUGAUGGAAACCAAACAAAAAACGUAACCACUGUAAAUGUAAAAGUUUGCUUCUGGGGGUUGGGGAUUUAGCUCAGCGAUAGAGCACUUGUUUACCGAGCACAAGGCCCUGGGUUCGGUCCCCAGCUCCGAAAAAAAAAAAAAAAGUUUGCUUCUGGACUGUCAAUUUCACUUCAUAGAUCUACAUGUUGAGCCUUGGGCCAGCUCUGUGCCGUUUCCAUUACUGAAGCUACUAAACAGUAAAUGGACUCCUCUGCUUUGCCUCUCGCAAGGUUUGGUCAAGGGAAGCUGUGCACAUAUUGACACUAGGGAAACAGACAGGAGGGUCAUGAGUUCCAGGCCAGCUUUGGCUACACAGAGAGCUCUAGACCAGCUUGUUGCGCUACAUGGAAAGACACUAUUUCAAACACACACACACACACACACACACACACACACACACACACACACACACACACACACCACUGAUCCAUUCUGGGUCUUGAGUCUAUAAUUUAUCAAUUUAUAUUAGAAAGUCUAGUUGAGGGAGCUCAAGGGAUUGCUCAAAGGUUAAGAGCUUACUGUUUUUCCAGAGGACUAAUUCAUAGCAAUCCACACCAGGCAGCUCACGACUGCCUAGAACUCCACUCCCAGGGGAAUCAGCACCCUCUGGUCCUCAAGGGCCAAAUUAAUUUUUCCAAGUUCUUAAGGUGGUUGGAGAUGUACAUCUACACAACCAAGUUUAACACAGACUGCACUGAGACAGGAAACUAGGAAUAAGCACAGUGCUCGCUCGGAAGGCACAGAGUUGGAGCAACCAGUUUCCCUGAAGAACCAGAGAGUGGAAGAGUUGACAUUUUAUAUAAAGAGUGGGCAGGAUUAAGGGGGGAUGGGGCGCUCUUCAGGCAGAAGCCCAUGGACUCGAGCAAGGAAUGUCAGGAAGCCAGAUACAUCAGGAACAGUAUGCUGAGAAGUAGAUGAGAUGAGAAAGGCUAGCGCCAGAGUCCAAAGGAUGAGUUGAGGAGUUAGGACCUAAUCCUAGUGAAUGCCAGGAAGUUGGUGUGAUGAACCUUCCUUAGGAUCUUGAAAGCACAUCUAAAGGACUUCAUGUGGUAGGUUCGGUGCCUAACUGGUAGUUGAGACUUAGAGGUAGAAAAAGGGUAGGCCAUUGGGGAUGCCCUUUUGAAGGGAAUAUUUGGGAAGAACAUUGUUAUCCUGGUUGGAUCGUUGCCUCUAUCUAUCUCUCUUCCCUUCCUGUCUUCAUGAGGUACCACCAUGAUGUCCCUGCCAUGAUGUAUGAUGCUGUCACAGACCCCAAAACAGCAGGACCAAGUGACUGUGGACUGAGGUCUCUGAAACCACAAGGCAAAAUCCAAACGUUCCCCUUCUUGUAAGGUGAUUACUACAGGCAUUUUGUCACAGUUUCAGAAAGCUAACCCAGUAGGAUCUGAGACAACAGAAACCUAAAUUUGUUUUCUGGGGUUACAUGGUGCUAUCAACUCUUAUAGAAACCAGCAGAAGGGCUGCCUUCUCACUGUUGGUCAGGGCCCUUCUGGGAUUCUCCUCUCUAGGCUCUGUAACAUGGGGCUUUCCUGGCCUUCUCCUACCUCUCUGAUUAUUCCCUCCAGUCUCCUCUUCCAGUCAGGCUCCUCUUCCUCUGCCCAUCCUUCAAAUGUGGUGUUCCUUGGAAUUCUGCUCUAGGUCCUGUUCUCUCCUUUAGUGAUGUCAUGUUGCCAUGGCUUCGUGGCCACUCAUCAACUGGUAACUUCAUGUCUACUGAUAGCCUUCCCAUACUACCCUCCUCCAGAUGUAUAGAUUCAUCGGCUUUAACUAAUCAUUAUGCUUUUUAUAUAUUUGCCAGACUUAUGUCCAGUUGUGAGAAAAAUUUCAUGUCAGACAGAAGAGAAGGCAGAAGCCUGUGUCCUUGUUGAAAACAUUUAUGUUUUUAAAUUACACGUAUAUUGGUGUAUGUGUGCUUUUGUACACACAUGUGUACAUGUUGCACAUAUGAGUGCAGGGGCCUGAAGGGGCCAGAAGGAGCUUUGGAUCCCCUGGAAGUGGAAUUACAGUUGGGAGCUGCCUGAUGAGCAGGGUUAUUUACUGGAGCAGAUGACUCAAAGGCAGGAACGUCUUCAAAAAGUUCACCCCAGCAUAAAUGAGGACUCAUGCAAUCUCUAUACUGGAGCUCUACAUGACUUAGAGGCAGCUGGACACUCCGGAGACUCUCCUCUCACCAGCUGGGAUGCUGAGAGUGACGAUGAACAGUCUGCUUUAGAACUGCUGCUUGCGGGCUGGAGAGAUGGCUCAGUGGUUAAGAGCACUGACUGCUCUUCCCGAGGUCCUGAGUUCAAAUCCCAGCAACCACAUGGUGGCUCACAACCAUCUGUAGUGGGAUCCAGUGCCCUCUUCUGAUGUGUCUGAAGACAGCGACAGUGUAUUCAUACAUAAAAUAAAUAAGUCUUUAAAAAAAAAAAAAA